rnacentral:lncRNA from 1 species
GCGACCUUCCGUCUUUCUUCACCGCUUCAAACGUUUACCGUUGGGCACUGUCGUUGUUCCAAGAACACAUGGACGUCCUCGCCGAUGAAUCCAACCCUAAAAUCCUUGUUAACACCUUCGAUGCUUUGGAACACGAAGCAUUAAACGCCAUUGAAAAUUUCAACAUGGUCGGCAUCGGACCUUUAAUCCCAUCUUCUUUCUUGAACUCAAGUGACUCCUUGGAUAAUUCCUUGAGAACCGAUCUUUUUCAACCCGAUUCAAAAGAUUACCUCCAAUGGUUAGACUCCAAACCAAAAUCGGCCGUCGUUUACGUUUCCUUCGGGAGCAUUACGGUGUUAACGAAGCAACAAGUGGAGGAAAUCGCUCGAGCUUUAAUAUCCAGCCGGCGACCUUUUUUAUGGGUGGUGAGGAACCGGAAAGAUGGAGGCGAAGAAGAGAAAGAAGAAGAUAAACUGACUUGCAGGGAAGAAUUGGAACAGUUUGGGAGGGUGGUUCCAUGGUGUUCGCAAGUGGAAGUAUUGUCUCAUCCGUCGUUGGGUUGCUUCGUGACGCAUUGUGGGUGGAACUCGACGUUGGAGAGCAUGGUGGCCGGUGUACCAGUGGUGGCUUUCCCUCAAUGGUCGGAUCAAGGGACUACUGCGAAGCUGAUUGAAGAUGUGUGGGGGAAUGGGGUGAGAGUGAGUGCUAAUGAAGAAGGGAUGGUGGAACGUGAUGAGAUCGUUAGGUGCUUGGAUUUGGUGAUGGGGGAUGAUGAGAAAGGGAUGGAAGUGAAGAAAAAUGUAGAGAAAUGGAAAGGGUUAGCCAGGGAAGCCUCCAUGGAAGGCGGCUCCAUGGAUAUGAACCUUAAAGCUUUUGUGGAUGAUGUUGCUCAAGGUGGUUGCAAGUAAAUUUAUCAUUUUCAAAUCAAUUCACUGUUAUAAUAGCAGCUAUAAAUAUUGUAACUUCUUUAAUUUCUAAGUUUAUUUCUUUUUCUUUUCCAUCAUCUUUUGUAAAAAAAAAAAUGUAAGAUUGAAAAGCCGAAACAAAAACUCCUCUUUUAAGGACCCAAGAGGAGCUGGUCUGUGUAGUCUUUGAGCCCCACCUGUCAAUCUCAAUCUCAAUCAAUGCUUUCCUUUCUUGCCUCAAGCACUCACUCGUUUCAUGUCCCAUCCUCGUUUUCCCUUCAUUAAUAUCACUCCACCUUCUAACUUAAUAAUUGAUACAUGAUCUCAAAAAAAAAAGAAAAAAAAAAAACCCAAAGUUUGAAUUCGGUCUAUGAGCUUCCUAAACAAAAUCAGGAUAUGUGAUUAAGCAUGGAUGCUUCCAUUAUCAUAUGGAUUAAGGGUGCCAGUCGGGCUUAUUACGCCCCUCAUCCAACUUUCACCAUUCGAUAUAUGAUUAUAACCUAACCAACAACAGUCAAAUGUGUUGUUGUCGUACCUCUAUCCCUUCAAAAAUCUCUUUACUGUUGCUACCCAUGUCUUCUUUGAUAUAUAUGCAUAUUUUUAACCUUACUGAGCUGUGGACUUCAUUUGACGUGUAACCAAGUUUUUGCUUUCUUUUCUUUCUUCUUCUUAUGUUUCCUGAAUUUAUAAAUUUUUUUCCAUUGGCUUCUAUUUAUGUUUUUUCAAAGAUUAAUAAUUGAAUUUAAUUAAAAAUAAUUAAAUUGGUAAAAUAUAUAAAUGUUGAGGACAAAAUUCAGUAUUAUCCCUUUUAAUACCUUUCAUCGUACUAGAUCAGGUAUUAUCGUACCAUGAAACUUGAAUAAGGGUGGGUUUGGAUGGGCGAUUGGGUGCGGUGCGGUGCGUUUAGCCUACUUUUUGUCUCACACUACAGUAUUGCUACAGUGGUAAACGCACCGCCCAUCCAAACUCACCCUAAGCCACCACACAAGUUUAUGCGCAUGUGGUUUUUUCUGGUUUAAUUCUGCUUCUAGUCCUUAUACUUUUUGAAAGUGAUGGAUUUAGUCCCAAUACUUCAAUUUGAUCACUUUUAGUCCUGAACUUUUCAAAAUGUUCAAUUUUAGUCCCUAUAUUUUUAGUCUUUUGAAAUUUUUGUCCUAAACCAAAUAAUAGUAGUUAAAUUUGUUUGUUUAAAUUCAAUUACUAGCAUGUAAUUGUAGAUUUAAUAUAUAUUAUCCAUUUUCUUUGCAAAGUCUGUGAAAAACAAAAAGGAUUGUUGAGAACAAUCCAAACACUAUCAAACACAGUUUAAAAAAAAAUAAAACAGAACAGCCUAACAAAUACUACUAAGCAGACAAAAACACUUUAACAACAGAUUUCCCCGUUGUAUUCUGCUGCAGAAAAUAGCAGACCAUCCCAGCAUCAUCCAUUCUGCUUCAGCAGCAAAUCACCAAGCAGCUUUAAAGAAGUUUUUCCUUGACAUGCCUGCCUUUGCUAAAGUUUCCGCCAUUCCACUCUUUUUUUGAUUAGUGAUUGCAAACUGGAUUUCGGCAAUAUGUCUACAUUCAUCUUCAAUUUCCGCAAACAACUUCCUUAGCGACCAUUGACGAAGAUUCCUAUAUUUCAACUAAUUCAAUACCGUAUUCAAAUCAAGCUCUAUAAUCAAAGGAAGUUGCACCUUAUGAAACAAAUUUGAAAACAUCUCUAUUGCUACUUUUAUAGCCAUCAGUACUACCAUUUCCAAACCCUCCACUGCACAGUUACCUGAAAAAGAGCUGAAACAACCCCUUUCUCGUCCCGCAACACCCCUCCGCAGCCCGCUCUUUCAUCCAAAGAAACCCCAGCCACAUUAAAUUUCAUCCAACCGCAAGGAGGUGGUUCCCUAUCCAUAACCCGCACAUUCCCCACCCUUUUUAACCGGACUGCUCUUCCUUGGCCACCCCCACCAAUCACUCUCUGUGAAAAUACAUUCCUCAUAGACCACUCUUGCCCAUACAAACGAUCUCAAUUUUGUUUGGUAAAUUAACAAGUCAAGUGUUGUAGCCUUACCUUCAAACACUUUCUCAUUACGAGAAAUCCAUCCUGACCAACAUGCUGCUGAUACUGCCAGUAACCAUAGACUUUUUUGAAUGCCAGACAAAGACACUCUCCAGCACAAGGAAAAGAAUUCCUCAAAGUUUGCUACGACGUCCUUCCAUCUCAACCCCCACCAGCAAAAUAUACACGACCAGAAUCUUUUCACAAAGGAGCAUUCAAAAAAAAGUGAUUGGUAGAUUCCGCCACUCUCUCGCACCAUGGACACCCACUAUCCGAAGAGUCGAUAAUAAUUCCUCUACUAAUAAAAAAUUCUUUCGUUGGAACACGAUUAAUCGCCAUCAUCUAUAAGAAGCUACGCUUUCUUGGUGGGACUUUCAAUUUCCAGAUUCUAUCAAACUGAAAUUCUACCGUUCCCAUCCCAUCACACAUUCACGACAUUAGUUGCACGCCCAGCUACAAACGAACCUGGCUCGGAUAGCAAAAAUGUAGGGAAAAAAUAGUCACAGAAGACUAUAGUCAAACAACGUGUAUGCAAGGAAAAUACUAAACUAGAAAAUUUAAAAAGAAAGAAAAGCUGAACUCAAAAUGACUGAAGUUGCUGUAUUAUUCACACACAAAAUGAAAUAAACGUAGGCCUAUAAAUAGCCUUUACACCAUAACAAACUAACGUAAAAAUGUGCAACACUAUUGCACGAUCAUAACAAAAAAUAGAGAAAUAAGGAAAAUAACAAACUAAGCAUAGCACAGCAAAUCUAAAUUUAGAAAAACUGACUUUGAAUCAUUCUCCAACAUCGAAAAUGGUGGAGGGUUGAAUCCAGAGUAAAGUUGACGGGAUGUGAUGUUUACGCGCCACCUCCGUAGCCCAAUGAAGGAGCAAAUAGUAGACAAUGCAAGUGAUGGGUUUACCUUCGUUUUCACUACUUGUUAUAAACUCAGAGAUGGCAUCUCUGCCUCGUCUCUUGAAUUCAGACAUGUAAUUGUCUGUGUCAUUGCCGGGUUUAAUUUCGUCGUCAUAGCUAUCCGAAAAAGGUAAAAACGAUAGGCCUUCAGCAGUGGGGGACUUUGGUCAUGCGACUGCUGGCGGAGAUGCUGGUGAUGAAAGUUACACGUACGUCGAUAGGUACAAGAUGCUUGGCGAAUUGUAAGGUCGGGUUUAUGUGGCCUUGUGCAGGAUAGGUCACUACGAUGAAAUGAGGCUGUGGCAUGAUGGUGACGGCGGCGCGUGUUGGCGCGUAAUUCGUGAAGGAAAUUAAUGGGUUUUUAUAGUGAAGAGAGGCAUUGAUAGAAGGUGACGUUUGAGCUGACGAAUUUCAAAGAUUCCUAAACCUUGUUGGACUUAUCUAGUGUUUUUUCAAUGCUUAGGUUGCAGCUUGAUGCAUGAUGCUGUUAGAGACAGUUUCAUACUACACGACUCUUGGGGGUUUGAAUUUAAUUCACGAAUUAUAAUUUAGGUUAAACUAAACCCCAACACUAAACUAGUCAGUUUAUAUUUGGUUAAACUACCUACCAAGUUAUCCAUCUAUGCCUAAACUUUCAAAAUGGUCAUUCAACUAAUUGGGUUUCAGUUUUUUAUCCAUUUCCCUUAAGCAUAGAUAAAUGCCUUACCUUUGCAUACUUGGUAGGGUUAAUUUUUAAAAAUUAUGACUAAAUUGAUACAAUAUGUAAAAUUUGAGGAAAAAAAUUGUUAUUAUCCUAAUAUUUAAACAGUCACUUCAACUUUCUAUCAAACACUUAAUGGAAAUGGACCAAAAAAAUAAAUCAGAAUAGUUAGGUGACCAUUUUGAAAGUUUUAAAAGUUGAGUGAUAAAAAAAAAAAACUUAAACAUGUUUAAUAGUAUUAAUGUGUCGAACAAUUAAAGUAUCCACUUGUCAUUGUUUUCUUGAAUAUUGUGUAUAUCAUAUAUAAUAAAGGAUUGUAUAACGCUAGCUGUCAUUUUACAUCAUACCUUUUCUUCUCCAAUAAGAGAAUGAUAAAUUAAAUUUUUUCUCUUAAAAAAAUUCAAAUUCAAAUAAAAAUGUAAUAUAAAAUCAUAAUUUCAUAUAAUCACAGUUUCAUACAAUAUUUUCUCUUAGAAUAUAUAUUUAUAAUGUAUAUAUAUAUUCCAUUUUUCAAUUGUUUCUAACUUUGUUCUUUUAGUUUGUCACAGACAAAAAUUUUGACUUCGAUAUUAUUAAUAAAAAAUUAUUAUUGUCCUUGUAGCGGAAGAAUGUGUGUGACAACGUGAUAAGUAUUUUUCCAAACAAAAUCCAAAAGGAUUUAGGGAUCUUCAAAUUCGUCAGCCCAAACGUCACCUUUUUUCAGUGCCUCUCAUCACUUAUAAAAACACUUUGAUUUCCUUUCUUAGUUACUCCAAAUCCGACGUUCGUAAAAAAAGACCAGGUGAACUACCUACGUGCCGCCGUCACCACCAUGUCACAGCCUCAUUUCCUCCUAGUGACCUUCCCUGCACAAGGCCACAUAAACCCAACCUUACAAUUUGCCAAGCAUCUUAUACGUAUUGGCGUACGUGUAACUUUCAUCACCUGCAUCUCCGCUCACCGCCGCAUGACCAAAGUCCCCACUGCUCAAGGCCUAACGUUUUUACCGUUUUCCGAUGGCUACGACGACGGUUUUCAACCCGGUGAUGACAUAGAACAUUACCUAUCUGAAUUGAGGCGACGAGGCAAAGAAGCCAUCUCCGAGUUCAUAACAAGCAGUGAAAACGAAGGCAAACCCGUCACUUGCAUUGUCUACACCCUGUUCAUCCAUUGGGCCUCGGAGGUGGCGCGUAAACAUCACAUCCCGACAGCUUUACUUUGGAUUCAACCCGCCACCGUUUUCGACAUCUAUUAUUUUUACUUCAACGGAUACGAAUCCACCAUUAAAGCUCCAGUUGAUGAAACAAACCCAAAGCGUUCAAUAAAAUUACCAGGUCUGCCGCUACUCGCCACCCGCGACCUUCCGUCGUUCGUCACCGCUUCAAACGUUUACCGUUGGGCACUGUCGUUGUUCAAAGAACAAAUGGAUGUCCUCGCUGAUGAAUCCCACCCCAAAAUCCUUGUUAACACAUUCGAUGCUUUGGAACACGAAGCAUUAAACGCCAUUGAAAAUUUCAACAUGGUAGGCAUCGGACCUUUAAUCCCAUCUUCUUUCUUGAACUCAAAUGACUCCUUGGAUAAUUCCUUGAGAACCGAUCUUUUUCAAUCCGAUUCAAAAGAUUACAUCCAAUGGUUAGACUCCAAACCAAAAUCGGCCGUCGUUUACGUUUCCUUCGGGAGCUAUGCUGUGUUAACGAAGCGACAAGUGGAGGAAAUCGCUCGAGCUUUAAUAUCCAGCCGGCGAC